AUUGAACGCUGGCGGCAUGCUUUACACAUGCAAGUCGAACGGUAACAGGGAGCUUGCUCCGCUGACGAGUGGCGAACGGGUGAGUAAUGCGUCGGAACGUGCCGAGUAGUGGGGGAUAACGCAGCAAAAGUUGUGCUAAUACCGCAUACGUACUGAGGUAGAAAGUGGGGGACCUUCGGGCCUCACGCUAUUCGAGCGGCCGACGUCUGAUUAGCUAGUAGGUGAGGUAAAGGCUCACCUAGGCGACGAUCAGUAGCGGGUCUGAGAGGAUGAUCCGCCACACUGGGACUGAGACACGGCCCAGACUCCUACGGGAGGCAGCAGUGGGGAAUUUUGGACAAUGGGCGAAAGCCUGAUCCAGCCAUGCCGCGUGUCUGAAGAAGGCCUUCGGGUUGUAAAGGACUUUUGUCGGGGAGGAAAUCCCCAGCGCUAAUACCGCUGGGGGAUGACAGUACCUGAAGAAUAAGCACCGGCUAACUACGUGCCAGCAGCCGCAGUAACAC
rnacentral:rRNA from 1 species